AUGAGCUCUCUCCUAUUUAUACAGAAUAUACAUCUCUCAACUUUCCUUAAGAAACAUCCCAUCACCUCUACAUACCGCCUCUACAGGCAUGCGUUCAUCCCUCACUGCCGCUGUUCCCAAUGGUGCAGAGACAGUUGGCCCAAGCUCUUGCCCUCCUACGUGGGAAAGCCAAAGUGGGACCCAGGCUGGGUUCCCUAUGGGGAUGCUCUGGAGCCCUGCCUUGCGCCUCUCCCUCAGCCAGGAUUUGAUCAUUCAUGGGGAGCACGGAGCGGGGAGAGUCCCUGCUCUGUGUCUAUGACGGGAAUACCAGGGUCUCCAGAGGUCCUGUCCACGCUGUGCAUUUUAAAAGGUCCCUGUCAGUGCUGCGGUCAUUGCUUCAACAUGGCCAAAGCAGAUGGGAAUCGGCGAGGCGUAUGCUUGUAUUGGACAGUGUCACUGUCAUUCUCACACUUGACCACCCUAGGUAGCACACACCCAGGCGACCUUGCAAGUAAGAGCUCACAGUUCACCCUCAUCCUUAGCCUGGUGUGCGGCACCAUUGUACAAACUCGCUGCCCAUCUGGGUGAGCAGCCUGCUUUGCCUGGAUCUUGCUCUCAUCAGUUGUGGCAGGGCCUCAUUUCUGUCUCUCAUGGUUAGUUAUACUUCACUCUGCCCUGUGAUUCCCACAAUCCUCAAUGUCUUCACCACUGACGUACUUGGCAUAUGACUUUUAACCUUUCCCUCUACUCUUUUAGCAAAAAGGCAUGGGCCACUUGUCCUCAGGGCUGAGUUUUAACAUCUGUCCUGAAGGACUGUGUUCAGAGAAAACAAGGAGCACUUGGUCCACACGGGUUUUCUCUUGCUUUCUCCGGACUCCUAGUAAAUCCUGUAACAGUCAUCACAAGCUCCAUUUUUGCUUCCUAUCAUAAACUUUCCAAGGAUUGAAAAAUAUUAAAUGGUUACAUAUUAAAUAAGUAAAACCCUUCUUUCUCAAGGUUAAUAAACCUUACAAUAGAAACA
rnacentral:lncRNA from 1 species